GACGAGGGGUCCUAGCGUUAUUCGGAAUUAUUGGGCGUAAAGCGGGUGUAGGUGGUUUUGUAAGUCAGGAGUGAAAGCCCUGGGCUCAACCCAGGAAGUGCUUUUGAUACUGCUUAACUUGAGUAUCGGAGAGGGUAGUGGAAUUCCUGGUGUAGUGGUGAAAUACGUAGAUAUCAGGAGGAACAUCGGCGGCGAAGGCGGCUACCUGGCCGAAUACUGACACUCAGACCCGAAAGCGUGGGGAGCAAACAGG
rnacentral:rRNA from 1 species